rnacentral:rRNA from 1 species
GCGCGAAAACUUUACAAUGCUGGCAACAGCGAUAAGGGAACCUCGAGUGCCAGGUUACAAAUCUGGCUGUCGAGAUGCCUAAAAAGCAUUUCAUAGCAAGGGCCGGGCAAGACCGGUGCCAGCCGCCGCGGUAACACCGGCGGCUCGAGUGGUAACCGUUAUUAUUGGGUCUAAAGGGUCUGUAGCCGGCCGGAUAUGUCUCUUGAGAAAUCUGGCAGCUUAACUGUCAGGCUUUCAGGAGAUACUGUCUGGCUCGAGGCCGGGAGAGGUGAGAGGUACUUCAGGGGUAGGGGUGAAAUCUUGUAAUCCUUGAAGGACCACCAGUGGCGAAGGCGUCUCACCAGAACGGACCUGACGUCAAGGGACGAGAGCUAGGGGCACGAACCG